rnacentral:misc_RNA from 1 species
AUUGGGCAGAUAUUCCCAGAUUCUGAUCCCAAGUGGAAGGGAGCUCCAUCGUCUGUUUUCAUUAAAGAAGCUGUAAGACUCAUGCAUGAGGCUGGCUAUGAUAUUGGAAACUUGGAUGCCACCUUGAUUCUUCAAAGACCAAAACUGAGCCCCCACAAGGAGGCGAUCAGAGACAAUUUGUGUCAGCUGCUUGGAGCAGAUCCUUCUGUUAUAAAUCUGAAAGCAAAAACUCAUGAGAAGGUUGACAGCUUAGGUGAAAAUAGAAGUAUUGCAGCUCACACAGUGGUUCUUCUCAUGAAAAAGUAAAGGAUAUCUUUAAAAACUCAAAUAUUUGGAAUUUAACUGUUGUACUUCGUUAGCAUUGUUGCCACUGUUACAGAGAUUAACAAGUUGGUUCUUGUGACGAUCCAUUUUACACUAUAACAGUUUCUUAAAGUUGGCUUCUACCAUGCCUGAAAGAAUAAUAUCUUGUCCAUGAUAUGUUGUUAUAAUACUUGUAUUUGUACAUCAUGCAAGCCCAUUUUCGUCAGGGCUGUUGUCAUUGCAGUUAUGUACAACUGGGGGUGCCACCAUGGCCAAGAUUUGGAAUAAACAAACAU